rnacentral:rRNA from 1 species
GAUGAACGCUGGCUACAGGCUUAACACAUGCAAGUCGAGGGGAAACGCCGGGGAAGCUUGCUUCCCCGGGCGUCGACCGGCGCACGGGUGAGUAACGCGUAUCCAACCUGCCUCUGACUGAGGGAUAACCCGUCGAAAGUCGGCCUAAUACCUCAUGGCAUCGUCUGCGGGCAUCCAACGACGAUUAAAGAUUUCAUCGGUCAGGGAUGGGGAUGCGUCUGAUUAGCUUGUUGGCGGGGUAACGGCCCACCAAGGCGACGAUCAGUAGGGGUUCUGAGAGGAAGGUCCCCCACAUUGGAACUGAGACACGGUCCAAACUCCUACGGGAGGCAGCAGUGAGGAAUAUUGGUCAAUGGGCGAGAGCCUGAACCAGCCAAGUAGCGUGCAGGAUGACGGCCCUAUGGGUUGUAAACUGCUUUUAUGCGGGGAUAAAGUGAGGGACGUGUCCUUCAUUGCAGGUACCGCAUGAAUAAGGACCGGCUAAUUCCGUG